UUUCUUUAGGAUUUUGCUUUUUAUGCUUCGGGUAGUAAUUCUCAAAUUUGUUCUUCUUUGGAGCUUGAGUGGAGAAGAAUAGACGAGCCCUAGGGUUUGCAAGAAGAGAAUUCGAAUUAGACAAGUUUGUUUUCGACAGCUGCCUCACACCUCCAGCAGAAGUUAAAUACCCUCUAAUAAUCCCUAAUCCGCUAUCCACGCGUGAAAUGCAAGCUUUCUCCGGCAGCACCCGUGGCAAAAUUGAUUCCGCAGUCCAUACAUUACAAUUAUUGGCAUUUACAUUUUUUGCAUUUAUUCUUUGGAAGGCGGAACGAGAAGAACGAGAAAGAGAUCGACCGAUUACUGAGAAAAUCAUUUUAUAUUGAAGAUUGUGACAUGAAUAGAACAGUUCAGUUGAUCAGAGAGUGAACCCUAAAUAGAGACCCUAGCGAGC
rnacentral:misc_RNA from 1 species